rnacentral:rRNA from 1 species
CGCGGCGGGCGGGGCGGGGGCACGGGGGGCCUACGGGAGGCAGCAGUGGGGGAAUAUUGCACAAUGGGGGAAACCCUGAUGCAGCAAUGCCGCGUGAGUGAUGACGGCCUUCGGGUUGUAAAGCUCUGUCUUCAGGGACGAUAAUGACGGUACCUGAGGGAGGAAGCCACGGCUAACUACGUGCCAGCACCCGC